ensembl:lncRNA
GACGCAACCAAGCAGCUGAGCCCACCAGCUUGUCUGGGAAAGAAGGUUUAGGUACCACACUUCCUAAAGCCUACGAGUCCUUUCUUGGCAAACUCACUCCUUUUUGUCAUCUUUAGGGUCAUGGGUCCUUUAAAAGCAAGCAGCGUGCAAAGCUGGGCACCAAGUAGAGGGGCAACAGAGAGGGCAGAGUUUAAACAAGAACAUCCGUUUGAUGGAGCAAAGUCCAAAACGCAUCAGAAAUAACGCCAGACAGGAAAAUCACUUGUUAAUUUCAAUUUGAUAUCCUGGACGCCUAUUCCAACGUUGAGCAAUAUUGUCAAUGUGCGUGUGUGUGUAUGAUAAUUUCUAUAUUUAAUUUAAAAGUUACCUUUGGCACUUGUCCAAAUGAGAAGCCGAAAUGGUCCACUGCAGAUCAAAAAACAGAUACAGUAGAAAUCUCUGGUACUAAAAAAGGGACAGUAGCAAUUUUUGCUUUAAAAGGAACCUAUCUUUGCUAAAAAAUACAGGGGCGAUCUCUGAUGCUAAAAAGCUACAGUGGCAAUCUGCUGCUCUGAAUGGUAAUUAUCUCAACAGCCAGACAUCAAAAUCCUGUGAGAUAUCCUCUCAAGGCCCAAGGAGAAGGAGGUUUCUGCUGGUGCAGCUCGGUAAUUACCACAUUUUCUGGCCUGAAACACUCAGAAUUGCCACCCUUUCUGAAGCCUCAGAUUCAAGGUGGAGUACAGCUGACCCAGACCCCAAGGAGAAGCAGAUGAAAAGGUGCAACUUGAGAGCAGAAGAAUAGAAAGGAAGGGUUUUGAAAGUUCCUCGAGUUCACAGUUCCUGUGUAAGACCAGAAGAAGGAAACAGCAACAUCUGGCUACCCGUGCAGCGUGAUCACAACGCAGGAGCACUCGGGAAAUGGUUAUUGCUUCCCGAGGCUGCUCACUGAGCUGGGGUCAUCGGUGGUCUUUUAUAGAAGACACACAGAGCAGGGAGUUCAUACGCUAACCGUUAACCAGAAACUUGCUUUGGAGCUAACCAGGAGCCCAGUCAGAUUUCCCCCUUUUAAUUCAAAUAUGAAGAACUAGUUACCUAGGAGGCAAAGGGAUGAUAAACACAACAUUCAGAACUGCGGUCAAAGAGGAUCAGACAGAGAUCUUCUAGAUGGAGAAGGGGCGGAAGAUUGAGGCCAUGACAGACAGUCUUCCAGCCCCUAAGUUAGGUGGUGAGUCACGGGAGUUUGUAUUAUCAUCAUUAGCUUUCAUUAUUUACAUUCUUUCGCAUGUGUCGGAUAUUUGUAAUAUAUUUUUAAAGGAAAAAAAUGUAAGUUGCCCGAAAAAGAGAUAUCUAACGCAUUACCUGGCAGUAUCCCUCCAUUUCUGAAUACCAUUAAGUUGUAUCUUCCUUUUUUACCCAUCUUUCAAGUUCUUCCACAACAUUUCAGCGCUUCAAAAAAAUAUUGUGCAGGUUAUAAUGGAAGAACAGGGAUUUAGAAUCACGGCCACUCAAGCCCAGGACCUGUGCCCUCUGAAACCCUCAGGACCUCAGGGAUUUAGAAUCACAGCCACUCAAGCCCAGGACCUGUGCCCUCUGAGUCCCUCACGGCCUUUCAGCUGCUGACUUUUAUCAUUGCAGGCCUUCUGCCCCACCUCACUGGUUUCUGGGCCGCCUUUUGUCAGCACUCACAGAAAGGUACCCUCAUCCUAUCAACUCUGGUUGGGAAAGUGGUAUGUCCCACGGUCAGACUGACCUCACAGAGGUCAUCAUUUCUGCACCAGAACACCACAACCUCUUUCCUGUGAGCAAGCGCCCUUCCUCCCGUGCUGACUGAGGCCCUGGAAGCUCAACGCGGGCUGGCCCAGACCGCUGCUCGAUGGGCUGGGAGAGCCCCGCUUUCAGGGGCUGAGCCGGGCUGAGCUUCUAGGACACGGCUUGCAGGCUCAAGUGAUCAUGCUGAAGGAAGCCUUGUUGAACCUGGGCAGGGACUGGCACUGGGGGGCUGGCCUGCACCAAGAACUUGCACAGGGACUGGCUGCCACAGUCCCUGCAGACUGACUCCAAUACGGACCCCAACCACCCCCCGUGUGUCUGCUGGCCGCUCCUGCAUCAGCAGAUGGAGUCCACUCCCUUCCCCUGAAUCUGAGCCUGCCCUGGAAUUGCCCUUAAUCAAUUGAACAUGGCAAUUGACUAUACUCCAAUAAAAAUUUUUAAAUAAAUAAGUUCAAAAAACAUGUAUUGUAAUAACCUAUAACAGAAAAGAAUGUGAAAAAGAAUAUAUAUGUAUAAUCUAAAUCACUUUGCUGUAUGCUUGAAACUAAUACAUUACAAAUCAAUUAUACUUCAAUAAAAAUUUAAAGAAAUAGAGUAUGGCAGAAGCAAACUGGUGACAGCUCCGGGUCUAACCUGCACAGUGCCUGGCACUUUCUCUCAUUCUCCUAGAAGCUCGGGCUUCCUCGGGGCCCAGAUCUCUGGCAGAGACGCC